rnacentral:pre_miRNA from 2 species
UCUUUUGGAUGGGCAAAGAAAGUGGUUUUUUGAGAUUGAAUCUGCUCCUGGUGAAGAUGCUGUGAA